UACGUAGGGUGCAAGCGUUAAUCGGAAUUACUGGGCGUAAAGCGUGCGCAGGCGGUUAUAUAAGACAGUUGUGAAAUCCCCGGGCUCAACCUGGGAAUUGCGAUGGAGACUGCAAGGCUAGAAUCUGGCAGAGGGGGGUAGAAUUCCACGUAUAGCAGUGAAAUGCGUAGAGAUGUGGAGGAACACCGAUGGCGAAGGCAGCCCCCUGGGUCAAGAUUGACGCUCAUGCACGAAAGCGUGGGGAGCAAACAGG
rnacentral:rRNA from 1 species